GUGUGUGUGUGUGUGUGUGUGUGUGUGUGUGUGUGUGUGUUCGUGUGUGUGUUCGUGUGUAAGAGAGAGAGCUGGACCAGGUGGCUGACGAAGACAAAGGGCCAAUUCCAUAAUGUGACGAGAUGUAUGCAAGGCUACUUUUUACUCCAGAAGGAAUUCCCCCCACAGACACCCUACUUCUGGAUAGAGUUCUCUUCAAUUGGAGACUACUUUGUGCAGCUGGGGAUGCUUUCAAAUCUCCAGCCCAAAGAUCCAUGAAGUUACUAAGAAACUCAAGAAUUUGUGGAUGAAUUUGGACUGUAAUUAAUAUCAUCAUUAUCUAUUAAUAUAGAUUUUCCUUGCCACAUACACCACUGGCUUGCUCAAACAAUCAUGAGGAACAAACUUAUGUAAACGUAUACAUUCUUAUAUACAACCUUAUAACCGCUUUAAGCAGC